rnacentral:rRNA from 1 species
UACGUAGGGGGCUAGCGUUGUUCGGAAUUACUGGGCGUAAAGCGCACGUAGGCGGAUUUGUUAGUCAGGGGUGAAAUCCCGGGGCUCAACCUCGGAACUGCCUUUGAUACUGCAAGUCUCGAGUCCGGAAGAGGUGAGUGGAAUUCCUAGUGUAGAGGUGAAAUUCGUAGAUAUUAGGAAGAACACCAGUGGCGAAGGCGGCUCACUGGUCCGGUACUGACGAUGAGGUGCGAAAGAGUGGGGAGCAAACAGG